ensembl:lncRNA SLC44A3-AS1 SLC44A3 antisense RNA 1
AACCACUCUGGAAUAUGAGAAGUGCUCUGAGCCAGGGAAGAAGUACCUGCUCCUCCUACAAGGCCCAGCAGUAUCAGCGACAGAUUAUGCUUUUGCAAAACUAGGUUUACAAUAUCACGAAUAGUUUGCGGGCGGAGAAUAUUUCCACAGAACAGGAAGGAUGAUUUCUUCAGACAGACAAAGCUUUGCUGGAGCGUUUCUGCCGUCAACAGUCAAGUGGAGGAAAGACAGUGACAGUGGAUAAACUGCAGAAGCUGCUCCAGGAUCUGGGAGCACAGCCUCCUGACCAUGCAGGGAGAGGUGUCAGGAGAGGCCCCGCAAGACACCCAGAGGAGACCCUUCAGUUGUAAAGGCUGAGGAGGAACUUCCAUCUGGGCUUUUCUGAGGAUGAGUGAACUAGCUCAUCUAGCAACCGGGAAUUGGUAAGAACUCACAACAAAUGAACGGGAGGUGAGCUGGGACUCAAUUCUGCCUUAUAGAGUAGCCCCUGUGCAGAACUCAUGGACCCAGGUGAAAACAGCCUCCCUGCUCACAUGGCCUCCCCUCUCCCUAACCUUGCCCCGGCCCUGAAAUCUGGGUGGCAUAAAUGGUGCAGUGUACAAACAAAAAGGGAGCCCUGUGGAGGGUAGACGGAGGAACUGGACCCUCCCCAGCCCCCAGCCCUGCUCCU